rnacentral:rRNA from 1 species
GCUUGAAAUUCAAAAAAUUUGGCGGUAUUUUAGUCUUUUUAGAUGGAACCUGUUCUAUAAUUGAUAUUCCACGAUUAAUUAUACUUAAUUUUAGUUUGUAUAUCGUCGUAGUUGAAUAUCUUAAGAGAGAAUUAAUAUUCAUUAUUCAUUAUUUUAAAAAUGAAAAAAAUCAGAUCAAGAUACAGCUUAUAAUUAAGAAGAAAUGGGUUACAAUAAAAUUAUUUUUGGUUAUAAUAAUUAAAAUUAUUAUAUAAAUUGGAUUUAAAAGUAAUAUAUUUUAGUUAAGAUAUAUGAUUUAAGCUCUGAAAUAUGUACAUAUCGCCCGUCACUUUCAUUGAAAUUUAAAAUGAAAUAAGUCGUAACAUAGUAGGUGUACCGGAAGGUGUACCUAGUUUGACAAAUUAAAGCUUAUAAAAGUAUUUUAUUUACAUUAAAAAGAUAGAUUGGUAUUAUCAAUUUAAUUUGAAUUUAUAGAUUUAUUUUUAUAUGGUGAAAAGUUAAAAAAAAUAUUUUUAUAUUUAUUUAUAAAUUAAGAUAAAAUAAUUAUAAUUAUAGUUAAUUAGUAUGGUGAUAGAAUAUUGAAAUAUUUUGAAAUUUUAAAUAUUUAAAAGAAAAAUUAAUUUUUUGUACCUUGUGUAUCAGGGUUUAUUAAAUAAUAUUUAUAAAAUUAAAUUUCUCGAAUUUAAAAGAGUUAAGAAAUUAUAAAUUUUAUUGUGAAAUAAAUAUUUAAAAUAAUUUUUUAGUAAUGAAAUGUUAUUCGUUUUUAAAUUUAUCUAGUUUUUUAAGAAAUAAAUUUAAUUUAGAUUUUUAUUUUAAUUAAAAUAAGUAUUUAUUUUAAUUAAUAUAAUUUAUUAAUAUUUCAAGGGAUAAGCUUUGAGAUAAAAAUUUAAAAAUUAAUAUAAAAUUUUAUUUAUUAGUAGAAUUGAAAGUUUUUAUCUUUAAUAGUGUGUUAUUACAAAUUUGUAGUUAAUUAUUUUUUUUAUAUGAUUUUAAAUUUUUUAUUAAAAUUAUUGAUUUAAUAUGAAAAUUUAUGAAAUAAUGAUAAAAUUAGUAUAAUUUUAUGUGAUAAAAUUUUAAAAAUUUUAGGUUAAGUUAAGGAAUUCGGCAAAAUAUUUUUUCGCCUGUUUAUUAAAAACAUGUCUUUUUGAUUAUAAUUUAAAGUCUAAUCUGCCCUAUGAAUAUUUAAAUGGCCGCAGUAUUUUGACUGUGCAAAGGUAGCAUAAUAAUUAGUUUCUUAAUUGGGAACUGGAAUGAAUGAUUGGACGAGAAAAAUACUGUCUCAAUUUAAUUUUAAUUAGAAUUUUAUUUUUAAGUUAAAAAGCUUAAAUUAUUUUAUAAGACGAGAAGACCCUAUAGAGUUUUAUAUUAUUUUUUAUUUUUAAAAAUUUAAGUAUAAAGUAAUUUAAUUUUAUAAAUUAAUAUUUA